UAGCGGGUUUGUUGACGUUCCAGUGGGCUUUUGCUGUGGAAUCACGGCGUGACAAAAGCUUUGGGCAAAGGAAAUCAAGUUGUCACGCUCCAAGACUGCCAAUUUGGUCGGUUCGGGCACGUCGAGCAGACGCCGAGCGGACAAAAGCUCCCCUGUCCGCCCAAGGCUAAACCAACAAGAUCAAGUACAAGAAUUGCCCAGGAUAAAUUCAAACAUGUACUAAAUCAAGCAAGCAACGAUAUGAGCACCACAAGUGCUAUACAAGUAAGAGCAAGAAUCACAAGUGGUAUACAAGUGAAUAAAAGAGAGAGAUAAAUCUAGCUAUUACAACCAUUCAACAUUCAUUUUUAAUUACAUUUCCAUCUCCCAAAAUGUAAAUACAAGUUCAUGAUCAUGAUACAUAAAUAGCUCCCAAAAUA